rnacentral:tRNA from 90 species
GCCUGCUUAGCUCAGAGGUU